ACCUCUCUAUGGUAGGCCAUGCUUUCUUUAAAAAGCUUAUUACCAUAAAGUUUGCCGCCUCACCAGCCACAAAAGUUUCCGGCUUUGGAAACAGGACACCGCAGACGGGCACGUACAGUUUGUACUUCCCACCUACCUUGAAGUAAAUGACCAUGUGAUGUAAUGUGGCCAAAGAAAUGGGAAUAGAUGUGACUCAUAUCACUCCUUGGUUGGAUCAUUUAUUUCUCAGUGGUCAUUGGCAGGAACUACAGAAUUUCUGGAGUGGACACCAAAGAAGACCAAAAGGCUGAAGAAUUUGGAGAAGCCUUCCAUCGGGGAGUGGGACAUCUGAUGAGGCCUGGAAGGACAGGAGAGGAGUUUCCUGGAAGGGGAAGGACAAAAGGCAUGCCAAGUGGAGUGACUAGCAAAGAAAGAGGUGCACAUAUGCCAGUACUAAGGAGUAUGGCCCAAAUCUGGAGAAGCAAUGUAUGGCAUAUGAGCAGAUUUUAAGACCUGAGAAGACCCUCUGUUAUUGCUAUGGCCUGCCCACCACUAUUCUGACUGCUGUUGUGUCUCAGUUACUCGAUGAGCCCAGAUAUGGUGACUCAUUCCCCAACCCCUUCCCAUAUCUCAAAGAGUCAGUGUUCAACCAAACAACUUUUUUCUAUUUCCUCCCCAACUUCCCCAGAAGGAGA